CCUACGGGAGGCAGCAGUGAGGAAUAUUGGUCAAUGGGCGCGAGCCUGAACCAGCCAAGUAGCGUGAAGGAUGACUGCCCUACGGGUUGUAAACUUCUUUUAUAAAGGAAUAAAGUGAGGCACGUGUGCCUUUUUGUAUGUACUUUAUGAAUAAGGAUCGGCGUACUCCGGGCCCGCAGCCGCGGUAAUACGGAGGAAGCGGGCGUUAUCCGGAAUUAUUGGGUUUUAAGGGAGCGGAGAGGGGUUGUUAAGUCAGUUGUGAAAGUUUGCGGCUUAACCGGAAAAUUGCAAUUGAUACUGGCAGCCUUGAGUACAGUUGAGGUAGGCGGAAUGCGUGGUGUAGCGGUGAAAUGCUUAGAUAUCACGAAGAACUCCGAUUGCGAAGGCAGCUUACUAAACUGCCACUGACAUUGAUGCUCGAAAGUGUGGGGAUCGAACAGGAUUAGAUACCCGAGUAGUC
rnacentral:rRNA from 1 species